AACGUAGGUUCCGAGCGUUAUCCGGAUUUACUGGGCGUAAAGCGCGUUCAGGCGGUUUGGCAAGUCGGGCAUGAAAUCUCUCGGCUCAACCGGGAGAGGUUGUCCGAUACUGCUGGACUUGAGGGCAGUAGAGGGUGGUGGAAUUCCGGGUGUAGUGGUGAAAUGCGUAGAUAUCCGGAGGAACACCAGUGGCGAAGGCGGUCUGCUGGGCCGUUGCUGACGCUGAGGCGCGACAGCGUGGGGAGCAAACAGG
rnacentral:rRNA from 1 species